rnacentral:tRNA from 1 species
GGCGCGGUAGCCAAGUGGUAAGGUCGGGGUCUGCAAAACCCCUAUACGCGGGUUCGAUUCCCGCCCGCGCCUCCA